GUCGCAGACAUAAAACUCAGGGUUUCAUUAAUUCUGGUGUAGGCUUCGAUUUUCAUUCGGUGUAAUCGCGUGUUUGGGCCAAAUGUCGUGGUGCGGCCCGUGAAGUAGAGUUCUUCUGUAACCCUAAUACUGCAGAGACGAUGAAUUGGCGAUGCGACGGCGACAUAGUGACGUUUGUGCUUCUUCUCAUCACCAAUCCAUUUCCAAUCAAACGUUCAGAUCAACUGGAAAGACACCAACGGAGACGUUCUUGAAUGAUGUCGGUCUCGAAUUGGGACGAGCGGAGCUUCGAUUCUGGCUAAUUGAUUUGUUUGGAAUUUCUGGGAAGCGAGGAACACGGCGAAGGGGCAUUUUAAUUGGUUUAUAGCUCCUGCUUAUUGACGAACAGGUUAGAACUUUGUGUUGAUUAAUUUUACUGCUUCCAUUUGUUCCUAUUAACUAAUACCAUUCUGCGAAAGGCAACUGAGCGUGGACAAGAAUACAUUCUUAUUAUUUUCUUUGCAACAAAAAAAAAGAAAAAAAGGUUCUGCAAUUCCAGUCGGUGAUUUUGGAAAUAUGAAGAAGUGCAAGCAAGAAGCUUUAUCGGACAUUUAAUCUGCUAGAAGACUAAACGUAAGAAUGUCUUAAUGGAUAUGCUCUUCUUUUUAUCUUUUUAAAAAAUUACCCGACUGCUCAAGUGAUAUACUUUAAUCAUUCUUUCUUUAUAAAAAGUAGUAAAGAACUCAAGAUUCUUAUCAUCAUGGAGCAUAAACAUCCUCUACCCAUCCAUGGCAAAGUUACACAGUUUUUCCACAACAAUUGACACUCAACGUAAUUCUUCACAACAAAAUCCUCACAUCAGGUUAUGGUAAAUCGCAGAUUGUUAGAUGCAUCUGAUGGUUAUAGACUAUGAGAAUUAUGGAAUACUUAAUGCCGAGUACCAUUCAAUAGUGAGGAGGCGGUAGAGAAGUCGAUUCCAUUCUCCGGGUGGUGCGCUGCUUUGAGGACAACGAUAUUUAUCAUGUCGGUGGCAAAGUAAAUCCCACGUCUGACCUUGAUUUCAUCAAUCUCAAACUCAUUUUCUGCGACUUGGAUCAGGGAAAUUGAGAAAUUAAAAUUAUCUGAGAUGUCAAGCAAAUAAGGCGUCAUUGAAGUGGCGAAGAUGUGAGCAGUGCUUACCUCUCAUAUACCCAACUUCAGUAGUAAACUUUUGUGAUUCUCUUUAUAACGACCGAUGAUUUGUUUGAAACCAUAUGUUUUUGAAUCCUCAGAGUUUCAUUUUAGAGCAAGAUCUAAAGUGAGGUACAUGUGCAGCAUUUACAAGCUACACGAUGAAGCCAAAUACAAGGUCUUCAUGCGCGGGAUAUCUGAUGAGUCAAAAUGGGAGCACCAAUUUAAAUGUUGUUCUAAAGAUGGUGUAAAGAAAUGCUGUUCUAAAGCUUCCCAUAAACCAUGUUUUGUUCUUGGAUAUGAUCUUGCAACUUUGAAUUUAAUAAUUUAUUA